rnacentral:tRNA from 1 species
CGCGGGGAAGUGUAACGGUUGCACAUCAGGCUCAUAAUCUGAGGGUAGUUGGUUCAACUCCAACCCCCGCAA